AGCAGCCGCGGUAAUUCCAGCUCCAAUAGCGUAUAUUAAAGUUGUUGCAGUUAAAAAGCUCGUAGUUGAAUUUCGGGAUCAGUACGCUGGUCGUGCCUUCGGUAUGUACUGGUGUCACUGAUUCCUCCCUUCUGAUGAACCGUUAUGCCAUUUAUUUGGUGUGGCGGGGAAUCAGGACUGUUACUUUGAAAAAAUUAGAGUGUUUAAAGCAGGCUCGCGCUUGAAUACAUUAGCAUGGAAUAAUGAAAUAGGACGUUUGAUUCUAUUUUGUUGGUUUCUAGGAUCGACGUAAUGAUUAAUAGGGAUAGUUGGGGGCAUUAGUAUUCAAUUGUCAGAGGUGAAAUUCUUGGAUUUAUUGAAGACUAACUACUGCGAAAGCAUUUGCCAAGGAUGUUUUCAUUAAUCAAGAACGAAAGUUAGGGGAUCGAAGACGAUCAGAUACCGUCGUAG
rnacentral:rRNA from 1 species